UACAGAGGGUGCGAGCGUUGUCCGGAAUCACUGGGCGUAAAGGGCGCGUAGGCGGCGCGGUAAGCGUGCGGUGAAAGCCCGGGGCUCAACCCCGGGUCGGCCGUGCGGACUGCCGGGCUGGAGCACUGUAGAGGCAGGUGGAAUUCCGGGUGUAGCGGUGGAAUGCGUAGAGAUCCGGAAGAACACCGGUGGCGAAGGCGGCCUGCUGGGCAGUAGCUGACGCUGAAGCGCGACAGCGUGGGGGAGCAAACAGG
rnacentral:rRNA from 1 species